GCAGCGGGCGGAGGCAUCCACUUUCUGCCAGUUUCUUCCCCUCGGGAACACCUGGGUCCCGCGGAGCCCCGACGCCGGGUCCGGAGCCGCGUCCUGCGGGGAGCGUGGCCGCGCGCGUCCCUCCCUUCACGCCUCAUCUCUCGCCCCUUCCGAAUACUCCGCCAAAUCGAGAGAUGAAAUGAAUCGGACGGCAGUUCCCAGCACUGCCAGGGACCGGGCAAAGCUGAAAAACUGUUAUUUCAACUGAUCAUUCGAUGUCUGUGGUCUCUUCUACUCUGACAUUCAAUGAUCCAAUGGGCUUUCCGGCCUGUUGGCCUGGGGAAGGGCUGAGCUCCUGCGAGGUGCUGGGGCGGCUCCUUUCCCUCCAUCUGCUCCCUCCUGCUGCAUCCACCCGGAGACCGUCCACCUGUGGCUACGAAAAUGAAUCAUGUAAAUCAGUAUAGAAGGAUGAUGCUCACGUUUUAGUGACCAUGUAAACUUGUACAAACACUCCUACUUACCAGCGCCCAUCUCCUGGGAUUAUGCUAGUUGUGCUCAUGUUAGGGGUUCUCCAGAUAGAGACAGAUUCUGAGGCCCCCUUAGUAAGUGAGCAAAGGCUCUCUCUCUCUCUCCCUCUUCCUCCUCCAGGGGAAUUGUGGGUUUGUGUUCAUCUUUUCUACGUGAAUCUUUUUGUAUCUUCUAAAAUGCAGGGCCAUAGAAUGAGCGGCAUGGAGAAGAGGGCGGACAGAGACCUGCUUCUCUUCCAACACAUUUCCGUUUGACACGUUCACAUGUCACUUUCAUGAGUUUGUUACAUUUGUCUAUCCCUCCGUGUUUUACCUUAGAUUUAUACUGAGCCUCCUCUCUAAUAGUAAUAUCCAUGAAAUCAUUGGUUUGUUAUAUACCAAUUGUAUUUCAGUGCAAAAUAAGUAAGUAAUAAAUAAGUAAUCUGUUUA